rnacentral:rRNA from 1 species
AUUGAACGCUGGCGGCAGGCCUAACACAUGCAAGUCGAGCGAGCGGCGGACGGGGGAGAAAUGUAUGGGGACUGCCCGAUAGAGGGGGAUAACUCCUGGAAACGGUAGAUAAUACCGCAUACUAUCGGAUAACCCAUAUGGGAUUAGCUAGUAGGUGCGGUAAUGGCUCACCUAGGCGACGAUCCCUCGCUGGUCUGAGAGGAUGAUCAGCCACACUGGAACUGAGACACGGUCCAGACUCCUACGGAGGCAGCAGUGGGGAAUAUUGCACAAUGGGCGCAAGCCUGAUGCAGCCAUGCCGCGUGUAUGAAGAAGGCCUUAGGGUUGUAAAGUACUUUCAGUGGGGAGGCGUUACCGGCAGAAGAAGCACCGGCUAACUCCGUGCCAGCAGCCGCGGUAAUUC